GAUGAACGCUGGCGGCGUGCCUAAUACAUGCAAGUCGAGCGAACAGAUAAGGAGCUUGCUCCUUUGACGUUAGCGGCGGACGGGUCAGUAACACGUGGGUAACCUACCUAUAAGACUGGGAUAACUUCGGGAAACCGGAGCUAAUACCGGAUAACAUUUGGAACCGCAUGGUUCUAAAGUGAAAGAUGGUUUUGCUAUCACUUAUAGAUGGACCCGCGCCGUAUUAGUUAGUUGGUAAGGUAACGGCUUACCAAGGCGACGAUACGUAGCCGACCUGAGAGCGUGAACGGCCAGACGGGAACUGAGACACGGUCCAGACUCCGACGGGAGGAAACGGUAGGGAAUCUUACGCAAUGGACGAGAGCGUGACGGAGCAACGCGGCGUGAGUGAUGAAGGAUUUCGGCUGGGAAAACUCUGUUAUUAGGGAAGAACAAAUGUGUAAGUAACUGUGCACGUCUUGACGGUACCUGAUCAGAAAGCCACGGCUAACUACGUG
rnacentral:rRNA from 1 species